ACUUUUUUAACUUUUUCCUAACCUCCAAUCAAGCUCCCAGCAACAUACAUUCAGGCCAGUGAUUCCGGAUGGAAGCCCGAUGGAACGACAAAACCGGUCUAUCAACCGAGCCAGGUUCGCGCAGGUCCAGUUCAAUUUCAGCACCGAAGGAUUCGUCGUGCACCGAUCAAAGUCCACGAGGAGCAGUUGCACGAUGGUGGUGGUGGUAACGUGUGUGAGUAGGAGUAGCGUGAAGAGAGGGAGGGGGAGGUCCAGUCCUCACCACCCGCACUUACCAGCCGGACAAUAAAGAAAGGAAAGGGAGAGGCGAACAGCCGGUAAGGAGGAACAGAGAUACAUUAAAAGUCAUCCGACUCGUAUAGCCGACAGACCAGUGUGUGGUUCGUAUGGAAAGAUGACCCCAGAGAUGGGACUAGUAUUCACUGGGACCCCAGACCGAAUUAAACGCUAUCAUUAGUUGGAAUGAUGAAGAGAGGAAGCACGGAUGUCGUGAAUGUUUCGUCAUUGGCACAUUAAUCUCUUUUUUGCUCAUUGGGCGUUGAAUUUUGAUGUGUGGAGAUUAACCUAGUUUUAUGGGUCGAGGAAUUUAUAGGAGAGUAAAAAAUAUUUUGAAGAUUGGAUUCAAAGUUCCAGGUCUUC